rnacentral:tRNA from 1 species
CGAUGCUGGAGGGGCGCUUCACCGCGGUCUUCGACAGCUCGUCGGCGAUCAGCUGCGAGGUGCCGGCCAGUUCGGGCCCGGCGGCGUCGA